rnacentral:lncRNA from 1 species
UUUUAAGUGUAUACCUGAUAAGUUUUCACAAAUGUAUACUCUUAUAUAACCACCACCACUAUAACCAAGAUAUUGAUAAUUUUUAUCACAUCAAAAGUUCCCAUGUGUCCUUUCCCAGACAGUCCUCUCUGCUCCUGGCCCCAGACAGCCGCUGCUUUCUGUCACUCCUUUUUGUGUGUGUGUGUCUUUUUUAGGGCUGCCUCCAUGCAUAUGGAGAUUCCCAGGCUAGGGGUCUGAAUCAGAGCUGUAGUCGCUGACCUACGCCAGAGCCACAGCAACGCUGGAUCUACACCACAGCUCAGGGCAAUGCUGGAUCCUUAACCCACUGAGCAAGGCCAGGGAUAGAACCUGCAUCCUUAUGGAUGCCAGGUAGAUUCAUUAACCACUGAGCCACGACCGGAACAUCACUUUCUGUCACUCUUAAUUAGAUUUAUAUUUCUAGUGUUUCGUACAUGGAGAAUAAUUCACAUUUAAAAAAAAAAAAAAAAACAGUAGGCACUCUUUUCCAUUUGGCUACAUUUGCUCUGCUUAAUGUGUUUGAGAUUCAUCCAUAGUAUUGUAUGUAUCUGUAGUUUGUUCUUUUGUAUGGUGGGUCGCUGCGUUCCCUUGUAUGGAUACGCCACACUUUGUUUAUCCAUUCACCAGUUGGACCGUUGAGUUGUUUUCAGUAUUUGGCUAUUAUGAUUAAAGCUGAUAGAAACAUUUAUGUAUAAAUAUUUUUAAUUUUUUGUUUGUUUGUCUUUUUGCCUUUUCUAGGGCCGUACCCGCAGCAUAUGGAAGUUCCAGGCUAGGAGUUUAAUUGGAGCUGUAGCCACCAGCCUACACCAGAGCCACGGCAACGUGGGAUCCAAGCUGCAUCUGCAACCUACACCACAGCUCUCAGCAACACUGGAUCUUUAACCCACUGAGUAAGGCCAGGGAUAGAACCUGCAACCUCAUGGUUCCCUGUCGGAUUUGUUAACCGCUGAGCCACGACGGGAACCCCUGUAGCAAUAUUUUUAAAUUAACUAUCUUCUUUUAUGAAACAGUGGUGGCAAAAAUGGUAAUAAUUUUGUUUGAUAUAUCUACUUAGUGAAAUAUUUAAGUUUUCAGUUUGGGUUCCCAUUUUUUGAAAGUUAGUGUCCAUGAAAUCCUGGAUCUAGGAAUCCUAGUUUCUAAAGAGGGAACUAAGUGACAUUUGGGGCCCGAUAAUUCUUUGCUAUGCAGGGCCAUUUAGCUCAUUUCAGAAUGCAUCCCUGGUCCCCACAAAUUAAAUGUCUGCUGUGUCAUCAGUCAAAAGGCCCAUGCACGUUUCUGAAUGCCCUCAGGGAAGGAUGCAUUCACUUGGAUUGAGAACUGAUUAUUCCUGGGGAGAUAGUUGGGUGUUUAGUGUGGGGAGAUCAAUCAUAAGAUUAUUACACUGAUCCAUCCAGGAUAUUGUGGACUGCACUAAGGUAGUGAGAAUGGAAAAUAGAUGAGAACUACAAGUUAAUUAGGAGGCAGAAUCCAUAGGACAGUUUUUCUGGCUUAUGUGUGCAAUGGAGACUCAACGCUAAGGAAGAGUAGAUAGAAUGAGAAAAGAGGGCAAGUAAGCCAAUCCUUAAGGGGCAGGUAGCAAAGCAGGAAUAUAACCAUGUCACCAUGGUCGACAUGGUGAGCUCCAUGUCCUCUCCCCCUCCCUGUGGUGUGCCUUUUUAUACUACAGAGGUUGGAAAGCUGAAAACUGUAUUUCCAGACACCCUUGCAGAUGGAUUUCUAGAUACAUAUUAAGGCCCAUCAAUUAGAUGCAUUAAUGUGAGAUUUGGAAAAUGGAAAUAAGGGGAACCACAGCUCAUUGCAACGCCAGAUCCUUAACCCACUGAGCAAUGCCAGGGAUCAAACCCGUACCCUCAUGGAUACUAGUUGGGUUCAUUACCACUGAGCCACAAUGGGAACUCCAUGAAUACAUUACUUUUGAAAUAAGAAAAAAUUUUGAAAUGUAUGAAGGACUUACAAAGGUAAAGACACUGUGGGUAAUAUUAAUAGAAAAACCAAACUGGAAAAAAAUUAUAUAUUUAGGGAGUUCCCUGGUGGCACAGUGGGUUAAGGACCUGGCAUUGACGCUGCUGUGGCUUAGGUCACUCCUGUGGCAUGGGUUCUGGCCCUGAAACUUCUUCAUGCCACAGGUGUCGCCAAAAAAAAAUCGGUAUUUUUAAAGGGCUGCAGUUCUGAAGGUUUGAGCACUAUAAUUUAUACUCACUUCUGUCAUAAAACCUACCCCUUUCCAAAGAUUUAGGAUGAGAUCACCUUCUCCACAGGGCAUGAAAAAGCCUUCUUAUGCUAUUUUCUUGAUAGAGAUGGACAUAUUUACCCCUUGAAUUCACAAAUAGCACAAAGUGAUUAUCAGAGUCCCUUUUGGUAACUUGUGUAAAUAACUCCUACAAUCAGCAGUUUUCCCAGACAUCCCCUCCCCUCAGAAAUAAACUUGAAGGUUGUACAAGCAGUAAUAAUUAAUCAUCUUCUCAACUGCAACAGUUUAUUUCUUUUCCAGAUCUUUUAGAGAGAUGGUGCUUUUGUUUUUCAGGUGUUUCAUAUUUUCUUUGUAAUUUAUUGCCAAGGGAGAAUGUUAAAGCAUGACAUUUCAAAGAAAAUGUUUUUGCUGUUAAAUUUCUCUCUGAUAAUGAGUUUUCCCAUGAAUAGUUGAUGAGCUAAUUUUGAGCAUACUAAAACACCGAGUGUAACAAAUGUACUAUUGAAUUUUCUACUUUUGAAGUUUUAUACAUAAUUCAUAGAUAGAUGCCUGAUACUUUUGGAAAUUAUUUUUCUUGUCAAACAUUUGUGAUGCGCUUUUUUUGUGGCCUCAACAUGACAAACUGCUAAGUUCUUUACCUUUCACAGACCACUCCGCUCCCUCCACAGUAUGUUUGCAAAUUAAGCUCAUCAUGAAGACAAAAAUAGACUUGGGGAAGUUAUUUAAGAUAAAAUGAGUAAUGAGAAUCCAACUCAAAAAUGAAAUAGAAAUGCAACUUCGUGUGAUAUAAUUCAUCUGUAUAAUUGAAAGAAACAAAAAUAUUAUCUGGAAGUGCCUUUUGCUCUUUCUUCCUCAUUUUUGAGUCUGAUUGCAAGCAGAGAUAAGGAGCCAAAUAGAAAUCAAGGUAUUAAUUACUGAAAAACCUCUUUGGUAGAGCUGGAUUGGAGAGGGUAAUUUGACCCUGAGGUCAAAAUGGGGCUUCCUAAACCAUUCCUAUAAAUUGAAGAAAAAAAGUUACCUUAUCCAUCAAAGUACAAGCUGGGAAACUGGAACAGGGAGUAUAGACCUGUUUAUCAGUGGUCUUGUCACAUGGGGAUUGGCUAUGCAAGGCAGACUCAUGCUGCAUGUUAGCAAGUGGUCAGUAAGAGCAAACAGUAUGGCCCAAUGAGGACAGGUAGUCCAGCGUGGCAGGGUUUCGCCUGCCCGCCUUGGCUGUGGGAGAUGUACACUUUUUAAAAGGCACCACCUGAUGCCUCCCCUAUUUGUUUCCAGGGCUUUCGGGCACACAGCUGUAACAAAUUGUUUUCAUUUUAGUCACAACAACUACCUGGACAAUAUAUUAUCCUAAAAACUAUUGAAAAGGUGCCUCUUUGGAGAAUGUGGUCACAUCUGCUCUUCCAUUAGUUGAAUUCCGUUUUCCCAUGUGAGAGAAAUGAGAGGAUGGAAGAAGACACCAGACACAACCACUCUCCUAAGAUUUCUUGGCGGGGGGGGAGUUGGGGGAGGGGAACUCCCACCAUGGCUCAGCGGGUUAAGAAAUCAGCAUAGUCUCUGUGAGGAUGAGGGUUCAAUCCCUGGCCUCACUGGGCGGGUUAAGUAUCCACUGUUGCUGCAAGUUGUGGCAUAGGUCACAGGUGCAGCUCAGAUCUAGUAUUGCUGUGGCUGAGGCACAGGCCUGCAGUUGCAACUCUGAUUCGACCCCUAGCCCAGGAACUU